rnacentral:rRNA from 1 species
AGGGUUCGAUCAUGGCUCAGGAUGAACGCUAGCGACAGGCUUAACACAUGCAAGUCGAGGGGCAUCGCGGCGGUGGCGACACCGCUGGCGGCGACCGGCGCACUGGUGAGUAACACGUAUGCGACCUGCCCCCUACAGGGGAAUAACCCGCGGAAACGCGGCCUAAUGCCCCAUAGUCCCGUCAGGCCCAUGCCUUUCGGGGGAAAGGUCCGCCGGUAGGGGAUGGGCAUGCGGCGCAUUAGCUGGUUGGCGGGGCAACGGCCCACCAAGGCUACGAUGCGUAGGGGCUCUGAGAGGAGUGUCCCCCACACUGGCACUGAGACACGGGCCAG